GACGAACGCUGGCGGCGUGCUUAACACAUGCAAGUCGAACGGUAAGGCCCUUUCGGGGGUACACGAGUGGCGAACGGGUGAGUAACACGUGGGUGAUCUGCCCUGCACUUUGGGAUAAGCCUGGGAAACUGGGUCUAAUACCGGAUAGGACUACGCGAUGCAUGUCGUGUGGUGGAAAGCUUUUGCGGUGUGGGAUGGGCCCGCGGCCUAUCAGCUUGUUGGUGGGGUGAUGGCCAACCAAGGCGACGACGGGUAGCCGGCCUGAGAGGGUGUCCGGCCACACUGGGACUGAGAUACGGCCCAGACUCCUACGGGAGGCAGCAGUGGGGAAUAUUGCACAAUGGGCGCAAGCCUGAUGCAGCGACGCCGCGUGGGGGAUGACGGCCUUCGGGUUGUAAACCCCUUUCAGCACAGACGAAGCGUAAGUGACGGUAUGUGCAGAAGAAGCACCGGCCAACUACGUG
rnacentral:rRNA from 1 species